rnacentral:pre_miRNA from 1 species
AGUAAGAUAGCUGGGCAAAAUGGUGAUUCCAUUCCAAGUUUUCUAAGGAAUGUCCACACUGCUUUCCAGAUUGGUUGCACUAAUUUGCAGUCCCACCAGCAAU